UACGUAGGUGGCAAGCGUUGUCCGGAUUUACUGGGCGUAAAGGGCGUGCAGGCGGUCUGUUAAGUCUAGGGUGAAAGCUCCCGGCUCAACUGGGAGAGGUCCUUGGAUACUGGCGGACUUGAGGGAGGUAGAGGAAAGUGGAAUUCCACGUGUAGCAGUGAAAUGCGUAGAGAUGUGGAGGAACACCGAUGGCGAAGGCAGCCCCCUGGGUCAAGAUUGACGCUCAUGCACGAAAGCGUGGGGAGCAAACAGG
rnacentral:rRNA from 1 species